rnacentral:tRNA from 1 species
GGGGCGGUAGCUCAGCGGGAGAGCACCUGGUUUGCAACCAGGGGGUCGGGGGUUCAAGUCCCCUCCGCUCCA